UGAUGAAUAUUCUGGAUCUAAUUCAUUAGUUACGAAUGAGUAGAUCUACAGGCUUUAUAUACUUACAUGUUUUAUUAGUAAAAACUAUAACAAACUAAUUUGUAAUACAUUGAAAAACAGUUCACUAAUCAGUUAAUAGACUAGCUAAUACUAACUAACAACAAUACACGUGAACUCUCAAUGCUGCUUAACAGAAUCAGCUGACUCAGCAUUGUUGACGUGGCAUCGUUGACGCAUCUUAACUUCUGGCUUCCUCUCUCUUUUCAGCUCAGCACAAUGAGCUUUCUUCACACGACGCAGUAGCCCCUUUAAAUUCCAGCCAUCAUCACAGUCCAAAAGUUGUCGGAUUAGCUGCUGACAGCCACCAAAAUACGCGCGGCUCCAACUCUCCAUCCGCCACCUUCGACCAUGCGUCGCACGCACCACCACCUGGGUUUGUUGCUUGCGGCGUCCCCUUCAAUUCCCGAUCAUCACCCCCAACCAGAAGCCAUCGGAUUUUCCGUACACAGCCACCAAACCAUAUGCGGUCGUGGAUCUCAAUAUGCCGCUGACGACGGCGUUUCGGCGCAUACUGUCACCACCGUUGGACUCCAAGUGGCGUGAAGCUUCAACCUCAAUCACAGCCGCUUGAUAUCCGGCCACCAGUGGCCGGCGAGGUAAAACGCUAAAUUUGUAUAAUUACAAUUUUAGCCUUUAAUUGUUUUAAUGUAUAGUUUUACCACGAUUGUCUCAUCUUUAUGUUUGAUUACAUGAUUCUAUACGCUAAUGGACCUCGAUCUCAUAAUAUGUAUCUCAAACUCAUACUUGGGACAAUUAAUUGGCCUUUGGUCCAGUAGGGGAAUCCUUGCACUUAUAAUGUUGAGUGUAAGGGUUCGAACCUCUAUAAAAAUAUUUAUGAGAAUUAAUUUCAAUCCUCCUUCAAUUAUUAAAUAAUUGAGUGAAAUUAG
rnacentral:lncRNA from 1 species